rnacentral:rRNA from 1 species
GACAGAGGGGGCAAGCGUUGCUCGGAAUUACUGGGCGUAAAGGGCGCGUAGGCGGGAUGGCAAGUCGGUCGUGAAAUCCCUCGGCUCAACCGAGGAACGUCGAUCGAUACUGCUGUUCUUGAGGAUUGCAGAGGAGACUGGAAUUCCCGGUGUAGCGGUGAAAUGUGUAGAGAUCGGGAGGAACACCGGUGGCGAAGGCGGGUCUCUGGGCAAUUCCUGACGCUGAGACGCGAAAGCGUGGGGAGCGAACAGG